AACGUACGCUGGCGGCACGCCUAACACAUGCAAGUCGAGCGAGGUAGCAAUACCUAGCGGCAGACGGGUGAGUAACAUGUGGGAAUCUGCCUUUUGGUUCGGAACAACACGGGGAAACCUGUGCUAAUACCGGAUAAGUCCUAACGGAGAAAGUUUUAAUGCCAAAAGAUGAGCCCGCAUUUGAUUAGCUAGUUGGUAAGGUAAAGCUUACCAAGGCGACAAUCAAUAGCUGAUUUGAGAGGGCGACCGGCCACACUGGGACUGAGACACGGCCCAGACUCCUACGGGAGGCAGCAGUAGGGAAUAUUGGGCAAUGGGCGAAAGCCUGACCCAGCGACGCCGCGUGAGGGAUGAAGGUCUUCGGAUUGUAAACCUCUUUCAGUAGGGAAGAAGCGAAAGUGACGGUACCUAAAGAAGAAGCACCGGCUAACUAUGUGCCAGCAGCCGCGGUAAUACAUAGGGUGCAAGCGUUGUCCGGAAUUAUUGGGCGUAAAGAGCUCGUAGGUCGUUUGUCGCGUCGAUUGUGAAAAUCUGAGGCUCAACCUCAGACCUGCAGUCGAUACGGGCAAACUAGAGUGUGGUAGGGGAGACUGGAAUUCCUGGUGUAGCGGUGGAAUGCGCAGAUAUCAGGAGGAACACCAAUGGCGAAGGCAGGUCUCUGGGCCAUAACUGACACUGAGGAGCGAAAGUGCGGGGAGCGAACAGGAUUAGAUACCCUGGUAGUCCGCACCGUAAACGGUGGGCACUAGUUGUGGGAACCUUCCACGGUUUCCGCGACGCAGCAAACGCAUUAAGUGCCCCGCCUGGGGAGUACGAUCGCAAGAUUAAAACUCAAAGGAAUUGACGGGGCCCCGCACAAGCAGCGGAGCAUGCGGCUUAAUUCGACGCAACGCGAAGAACCUUACCAAGGCUUGACAUAUAGUGAAAAGUGGCAGAGAUGUCA
rnacentral:rRNA from 1 species